rnacentral:lncRNA from 1 species
GACUAUAAAGUGGGUCAAGGGAGAGUUUAUCGAUAGGAGAUUGAACAACCCGCAAGGACCCAGGGAAAAAGUGCUGCCCUGAUGUUAUAAGCUGCUUGGCUUGGAGAAAAUGGUGGCUGACACUAAGAAGAAAUGUCAGAACUGAUGUGACAGAGGGUGGAGGCAAGAACAGGAAAGCUCAGAGUGAGGAGACUGCUGGAGCAGAAUCCUGGAAUGGCUGUUCCCAGGCUUUUUUCAAAGCAAGUGGAUCUGAGCGGGGCAAAGGGUGAAGGCAGGGGACACUGUGGUAUGCAUUCACUCCCCCAGGUACUGGGUUGUCGGCAGCUGAUAUUUCCCAACUGAGACCUGCUACAGGAAUUGCUUGAGGCUAAAGAGAGCCACUCUCCUCAAGGCCACAUCCUCCUCCCUAAUGAGAGCUACACCCAAUAACCCAUCAUGGGGAUAAAAGGACUCAACCCUCUUUGCUUCAGUUUGGAACAUCUCUGAAGGGCCAUUCCAGCUUCAUAGCUCCCAGCGCAUUUGUCAGAGAACUCUGUUGCAACCACAUCACAGUCCAGCUCCCCCCUGCCUAUGUAUUGCUUCCUUCACACAGAUGUUGAU